rnacentral:rRNA from 1 species
AUACGGAGGAUCCGAGCGUUAUCCGGAUUUAUUGGGUUUAAAGGGAGCGUAGGUGGAUUGUUAAGUCAGUUGUGAAAGUUUGCGGCUCAACCGUAAAAUUGCAGUUGAAACUGGCAGUCUUGAGUACAGUAGAGGUGGGCGGAAUUCGUGGUGUAGCGGUGAAAUGCUUAGAUAUCACGAAGAACUCCGAUUGCGAAGGCAGAUCACUAGACUGUUACUGACACUGAUUCUCGAAAGUUCUGGUAUCAAACAGGAUUAGAUACCCUAGUAGUCCGCACAGUAAACGAUGAAUACUCGCUGUUUGCGAUACACGGGAAGCGGCCAAGCGAAAGCGUUAAGUAUUCCCCCUGGGGAGCACGCCGGCAACGGUGAAACUCAAAGGAAUUGACGGGG